AUACGUGCAUAACACCUUAUCCAUUGCUUCACUAAGCAAGAUGCAGUGGGUUCAGUCUCUAAGUCCAAUGGCCUCACCUAAUAGUUAUUGGCACAUUUUUUAGUUAAGUUAGACCCACCGUUCACCAAUGGGCACAAAACCGUCAUUGGGUCCUUUACCUAAUAAUUAUUGGACCAAAUCUCAUCUCUACCCUGAGGCAUCUAAUACCAAUAGAGUGGUUGUACCUUUCUACUGCAAUCAAACCACUGUAAUGAGCCAAGAACGAUCAAUGCUAGGAAGGCAUUUGCAUCUCUACAAUGGUGGAAGACCGCUAGACUUAAUAUUUGAUAAGGAGAUUAGGUUUAAAUCUCUUCUAAGUCAGCAGAUCUAAUAUCUGACUAACCAAGUUUAGGUCAGUACAAUCAUAUAUCUGACCAACCUAGUCAGCAUGGGUGAACUCGAGUCAGCAAGUAAUCUAAUUCAAAACAUAAUCUCCCAAAAUAGUUAGGUAAGUUAAGAUAAGUGGGGGUCCCUUCGUUGCUUUCUUUAGACACCAACAAAUUGAUCAGGUCAGACAACGGAAUCAAUUAAAUAAUCACCAUCUAGAUACUUUCCUUAGACACUAAAU
rnacentral:lncRNA from 1 species